GACGGAAGGUGCAAGCGUUGCUCGGAAUCACUGGGCGUAAAGGGUGCGUAGGCGGCGCGGUAAGUCGGGUGUGAAAUCUCGGGGCUUAACUCCGAAACUGCAUUCGAUACUGCGUGCUUGAGGACUGGAGAGGAGACUGGAAUUUACGGUGUAGCAGUGAAAUGCGUAGAGAUCGAUAAGGAAGACCAGUGGCGAAGGCGGGUCUCUGGGCAGUUCCUGACGCUGAGGCACGAAGGCCAGGGGAGCAAACGGG
rnacentral:rRNA from 1 species